CUUGCUCCACCGAAAGAAAAGGAGUGGCGGAACGGGUGAGUAACACGUGGGUAACCUGCCCAUCAGAAGGGGAUAACACUUGGAAACAGGUGCUAAUACCGUAUAACAAUCGAAACCGCAUGGUUUUGAUUUGAAAGGCGCUUUCGGGUGUCGCUGAUGGAUGGACCCGCGGUGCAUUAGCUAGUUGGUGAGGUAACGGCUCACCAAGGCCACGAUGCAUAGCCGACCUGAGAGGGUGAUCGGCCACAUUGGGACUGAGACACGGCCCAAACUCCUACGGGAGGCAGCAGUAGGGAAUCUUCGGCAAUGGACGAAAGUCUGACCGAGCAACGCCGCGUGAGUGAAGAAGGUUUUCGGAUCGUAAAACUCUGUUGUUAGAGAAGAACAAGGAUGAGAGUAACUGUUCAUCCCUUGACGGUAUCUAACCAGAAAGCCACGGCUAACUACGUGCCAGCAGCCGCGGUAAUACGUAGGUGGCAAGCGUUGUCCGGAUUUAUUGGGCGUAAAGCGAGCGCAGGCGGUUUCUUAAGUCUGAUGUGAAAGCCCCCGGCUCAACCGGGGAGGGUCAUUGGAAACUGGGAGACUUGAGUGCAGAAGAGGAGAGUGGAAUUCCAUGUGUAGCGGUGAAAUGCGUAGAUAUAUGGAGGAACACCAGUGGCGAAGGCGACUCUCUGGUCUGUAACUGACGCUGAGGCUCGAAAGCGUGGGGAGCAAACAGGAUUAGAUACCCUGGUAGUCCACGCCGUAAACGAUGAGUGCUAAGUGUUGGAGGGUUUCCGCCCUUCAGUGCUGCAGCUAACGCAUUAAGCACUCCGCCUGGGGAGUACGACCGCAAGGUUGAAACUCAAAGGAAUUGACGGGGGCCCGCACAAGCGGUGGAGCAUGUGGUUUAAUUCGAAGCAACGCGAAGAACCUUACCAGGUCUUGACAUCCUUUGACCACUCUAGAGAUAGAGCUUCCCCUUCGGGGGCAAAGUGACAGGUGGUGCAUGGUUGUCGUCAGCUCGUGUCGUGAGAUGUUGGGUUAAGUCCCGCAACGAGCGCAACCCUUAUUGUUAGUUGCCAUCAUUUAGUUGGGCACUCUAGCAAGACUGCCGGUGACAAACCGGAGGAAGGUGGGGAUGACGUCAAAUCAUCAUGCCCCUUAUGACCUGGGCUACACACGUGCUACAAUGGGAAGUACAACGAGUCGCGAAGUCGCGAGGCUAAGCUAAUCUCUUAAAGCUUCUCUCAGUUCGGAUUGUAGGCUGCAACUCGCCUACAUGAAGCCGGAAUCGCUAGUAAUCGCGGAUCAGCACGCCGCGGUGAAUACGUUCCCGGGCCUUGUACACACCGCCCGUCACACCACGAAAGUUUGUAACACCCGAAGUCGGUGAGGUAACCUUUUUGGAGCCAGCCGCCUAAGGUGGGAUAGAUGAUUGGGGUGA
rnacentral:rRNA from 1 species